rnacentral:lncRNA from 1 species
CACUACAAAAAAAGUGUUGAAUUGUAUCACUUAAAUUGUAUCAUAAAAUUAAGCGAUUCUAUUUUACAUUACUUAUUUAUAAAUGAAGCAAAUAUACAUAGUUUAACAUCAAUUAUGAUAAGUGAUGUUUUUAUUAAUUUAUUUGACAUCAGUUUAAUUAAGUGAUAUAUUUUUUUGGUAAUUUGAAUCACUUCUAACAAAAAUGAUACUAUUACAAAAAGUUAUAUCAUAUAAACAAAUGAUGUAUAAAUUUU